UACGUAGGGUGCAAGCGUUGUCCGGAAUUAUUGGGCGUAAAGAGCUCGUAGGCGGUUUGUCACGUCGGAUGUGAAAACCCGAGGCUUAACCUCGGGCCUGCAUUCGAUACGGGCUGACUAGAGUUCGGUAGGGGAGACUGGAAUUCCUGGUGUAGCGGUGAAAUGCGUAGAUAUCGAGAGGAACACCGGUGGCGAAGGCGGCCUUCUGGACAGUAACUGACGCUGAGACGCGAAAGCGUGGGGAGCAAACAGG
rnacentral:rRNA from 1 species